rnacentral:rRNA from 1 species
UACGGGGCAUGCCUUAGUACGGCGAGUGAAGCGGCAAAAGCUCAAAUUUGAAAUCUGGUACCUUCGGUGCCCGAGUUGUAAUUUGGAGAGGGCAACUUUGGGGCCGUUCCUUGUCUAUGUUCCUUGGAACAGGACGUCAUAGAGGGUGAGAAUCCCGUGUGGCGAGGAGUGCGGUUCUUUGUAAAGUGCCUUCGAAAAGUCGAGUUGUUUGGGAAUGCAGCUCUAAGUGGGUGGUAAAUUCCAUCUAAAGCUAAAUAUUGGCGAGAGACCGAUAGCGAACAAGUACAGUGAUGGAAAGAUGAAAAGAACUUUGAAAAGAGAGUGAAAAAGUACGUGAAAUUGUUGAAAGGGAAGGGCAUUUGAUCAGACAUGGUGUUUUGUGCCCUCUGCUCCUUGUGGGUAGGGGAAUCUCGCAUUUCACUGGGCCAGCAUCAGUUUUGGUGGCAGGAUAAAUCCAUAGGAAUGUAGCUUGCCUCGGUAAGUAUUAUAGCCUGUGGGAAUACUGCCAGCUGGGACUGAGGACUGCGACGUAAGUCAAGGAUGCUGGCAUAAUGGUUAUAUGCCGCCCUCUAAAACCGGGACCAAAACCCAAACAAAAAAGAAAAAAAAAAAAAAAAAAAA